rnacentral:rRNA from 1 species
CCUACGGGAGGCAGCAGUGAGGAAUAUUGGUCAAUGGGCGCGAGCCUGAUCCAGCCAAGUAGCGUGAAGGAUGACUGCCCUACGGGUUGUAAACUUCUUUUAUAAAGGAAUAAAGUGAGGCACGUGUGCCUUUUUGUAUGUCCUUCAUGAAUAAGGCUCGGCUAACUCCGUGCCAGCAGCCGCGGUAAUACGGAGGGUCCGAGUGUUAUCCGGAUUUAUUGGGUUUAAAGGGAGCGUAGAUGGGUUGGUAAGUCAGUUGUGAAAGUUUGGGGCUCAACCGUGAAAUUGCAAUUGAUACUGGCAGUCUUGAGUGCAGUUGAGGUAGGCGGAAUUCGUGGUGUAGCGGUGAAAUGCGUAGAUAUCACGAAGAACUCCGAUUGCGAAGGCAGCUUACUAAACUGCCACUGACAUUGAUGCUCGAAAGUGUGGGUAUCAAACAGGAUUAGAUACCCCUGUAGUC